rnacentral:rRNA from 1 species
UACGUAGGGGGCAAGCGUUGUCCGGAAUUAUUGGGCGUAAAGCGCGCGCAGGCGGUUUUUUAAGUCUGGUGUAUAAACCUGAGGCUCAACCUUGGGACGCAUUGGAAACUGGGGAACUGGAGUGUAGGAGAGGAAAGUGGAAUUCCACGUGUAGCGGUGAAAUGCGUAGAUAUGUGGAGGAACACCAGUGGCGAAGGCGACUUACUGGACGCAUAUUGACGCUGAGGUGCGAAAGCGUGGGGAGCAAACAGG